CUGGCGGCAGGCCUAACACAUGCAAGUCGAGCGGAAACGACACUANCAAUNCUUCGGGNGCUUUAAUGGGCGUCGAGCGGCGGACGGGUGAGUAAUGCCUAGGAAAUUGCCUUGAUGUGGGGGAUAACCAUUGGAAACGAUGGCUAAUACCGCAUAAUGCCUACGGGCCAAAGAGGGGGAUCUUCGGACCUCUCGCGUCAAGAUAUGCCUAGGUGGGAUUAGCUAGUUGGUGAGGUAAUGGCUCACCAAGGCGACGAUCCCUAGCUGGUCUGAGAGGAUGAUCAGCCACACUGGAACUGAGACACGGUCCAGACUCCUACGGGAGGCAGCAGUGGGGAAUAUUGCACAAUGGGCGAAAGCCUGAUGCAGCCAUGCCGCGUGUAUGAAGAAGGCCUUCGGGUUGUAAAGUACUUUCAGUUGUGAGGAAGGGUGUGUAGUUAAUAGCUGCGCAUCUUGACGUUAGCAACAGAAGAAGCACCGGCUAACUCCGUGCCAGCAGCCGCGGUAAUAC
rnacentral:rRNA from 1 species